rnacentral:lncRNA from 1 species
UAAUGUCUAUUUUUUUUUCUUUUUACUAUUUAAAGAAUUCUCACAAAUUAUCAAAAUGACCCAGAAGCGCAAUAGAAACAGAAGAAAGGGUGGGGGAAAAAAUGUAAUUGUAAUGUAUACAUGUAAGGAUAACCUGACCCCCUUGCUGUACAGUGGGAAAAUAAAAAAAAUUAUUAAUUAAAAAAAAAAAGAAUCUCAAUAGAAAAAUGGGAAAAGAGAGUUCAUAUACUGCUCACAGAAAAGGGAAUCCAAAUAGCCUUGAAAUAUGUGAAUAGCUGUAAAAACUCAAUCAUGAUAAGAGAAUGGUAAAUUAUAAUUGCAAUGGAAUACCAUUUUUAGACUGGUAAAUAUUAAAAAGAUUGACAACAUACUGCAUUGGUAACUAAGUUGGACAACAAUGUAAAUUACUAUGAUUUAUAUGACAGGCAACUUAGUAAUACAUACAAAGAUUAAAAAAAAAUACACAUAUCACUUAUCCCUUGUCUUAGCAAUUCUGUUAAAGAAUUUUCUUCUGCAAACUCAAACACACAUGAAAUGACAUAUGUACAGUUUUUUUUAAUUGUAGCAUCAUUUUUAAUAGCAAAAGAUUAAAAACACCAAAAUGUCCAUCAGUAGGGAACCAGUUAAAUACAUAAUAUAGAGGCAUACAAUGGAAGAGGAAAAUAAGGGUCAAUGUUUUUGUUUUAUGUACUGAUGUCCAAGAUACAGAGGGUGAAAAAAGAAAUGAGCCAAAGAGUUCAUGCUACUAUUUGAAGAAAAAACAUAAAACCAAAACAACAACAAAAUGCUUCUGUGUGUAUUGUUUCUCUAGAUGUAUAUUAAAAAACUACAUAGUAAUUUACUUUAGGGAGGAGAACCGGGUGCUAGGGUUAGAGGUAGGGAGGGAAAUUCGUUUUAGACCCUUUUUGCAUAUUCUUGAAUGUUGCAGGAUUAGUAUUUAUAACCUUUAGAUUGAAUUAAAUUUCAAGAAAAACAGGAAGUAUUCAACUGUGUUUUUAUAACCUCAAUGAAAAUGGUUCAUUGGAAUGGUUCAAAUGGAGUAGGUUGAGAGGACAAUAGGAGGUUAGAAAUCUGAAAAGAGCACUUAACAUAAUUAUAGAAAAAUACAUAUUUUUAACAAGUUUGUGAUUGAGGUUCUACAUGAGGGCUACCUCUGUUUUUAAGAUAGGUAAUAGAUAAAUAUUGACAGUAAGAUAAGUAUAGAUAAUGGAUAAAGAUGGAUGAUAUUCCAAUAUGUUUCCAUGUUGAGAGAUGAAACUCUAUUUUUUUUUUAAUGAUAGGAAUUAGAUAAAGUAGUUUCUAUCUAUUAAGGCCACUCCUUCUUGAUGAUAAUCAGAACAUUUUAGAUAUGUAUAACUAUUUCUGUAAAGAACGAGGGUAAGGAGGAUAACUGAAAGAUCAGACAAAGCUUCAUGGUCAGGAGAGAAGGCAAUCCUGGUGAGGCCAGCAGUAUGGUAUUCUAUCUCUACUCUGUUGUUUGUGCUAUUUUGAGAUUCCAGCAGUAUUUAUAACAUGUGCUAGUUAGGAGAGUAAAUGGAUGAAGGAGAGACCGAAGACAUUCUGAAGGUCUAACAAAACAAAUGGAAUACAGUUAUCUUGUUAAAAAGAGAAGAGGAGAAAAGUUAUGAAAUAUUUCUAUUCAAGACCUGUAAUUAUAUAGAGAAUUAUUUUGCUUUUUACUCCAAUAAAUAUUCUACUUUUGUAAUUUUUCUGUAACUCUUGGGAAAUUUUAUUUUCCUUAUUCCAUCUACUAUCUAUUCACACCCAACCCAAGCCAUGACCACCCAUACCUAAGUGUCUUCUCCACUCCUGUCCCUUUUUAAUCUGCUAUUCCAUAGCUUUCUACUUCCAUCAUGUGAAAAUUAUUCCAUUUUCUCACCUAUGGGAUCUCCACUUUCUUCUACUGUACUUCAUUUUCAGAACUCUCAAGUGACAACAGAGAUAGUUGGCUGGAGUUUUAUAUAUUGUUUUUGGUAGAUUGAUGAGUAGACAUUCUAGCACCUAGGAUAGCACCUGUUAACUGAACAGAGUCAGUACUUGUUAUUUAAAAUGGUGAGUAAUAGAAAGAGAGCAGCUAAGAUGGUGAAGUAAAAAGACCCUCCUCUCACAAGCACACCAAAAUCACAAAUAUCUGAAGAACAACCAUCAAUAAAAAAGACUGGAGACUACCAGAAAGGAUCUUCUAUAGCUAAAGACAUAAAAAUGGAAUCACAAUGAGACUAAGGGGUGUAUUUGUAAUAUAACCAAAUCUCAUGCCCCCCCCCACAGUGGGCAAUCCACAAACUGGAGAAUAACUAUAUUGCAAGAGCAAGAGUUCUGAGCCCCAUGUCAAUUUCUCCAGACUGGGGGUCUGGCACAAGAAGAUAAGCCUCCAGAGCAUUUGGUUUUGAAGGCCAACAGGGUUCAAUUGCAGAACCCCUAUAGGACUGGGGAAGAUAGAAACGCCACUCUUUUAGAGCACCCACAAAAUCUCAGGCACAUUGUGACACAGGGUAAAAAAAGUAAUUUGAUAGGAUCCUGUGUCUGACCUGACUUCUGGUCUUGGAGAAUCUCCUGGAGAGGUAAGGGGCAGCUGCAGCUCACCCUGGGAACAUGGACAGUAGUGGCAGACAUAGUGGGAGACAUUGGUGACCCAGCUCCACCCAGGCACUGCAUCCUCCCAUGAGAAAGUCCCACGAGGAAGCCAAACAAGCCUCAUGACUAGCCUCAUCCACCAGGGGGCAGACACCAAAAGCAAGAAAACUAUGAUCUUGCAACAUAGGACUGACCCUACCCUGGGAACAGCUGGCCUGGCUUGGCCCACUAGCAGGCCAAUGCAACCUUUAGGACACCCCAGACCUCACACCCAACUGUGUCAGGAGCAAACACCCCUGCCCCCACCUGCCAAGUGAUCUGAAACUACCUCUGGGACCCUUGGUCCUGUAGCCAGACUCUAGGUGCCAGUUCAUCUGCCUGCCGAUAAACUGGCACUAACUCCGAUGCUACCAGUUACUUUACCUACCAGUGAGUGGGCAACAACCCUGGAGUCUUCAGGACCCUGACUCCACCCAGAUAUCCAGAGAAGAAAUGAUG